ensembl:misc_RNA Metazoa_SRP Metazoan signal recognition particle RNA
GCUGGGCAUGGUGGUGCGUGCCUGUAAUCCCAGUUACCUGGGAGGCUGAGGCAGGAGAAUAGCUUGAACCCAGGAGGCGGAGGUUGCAGUGAGCUGGGAUUGCACCACUGCACUCCCGCCUGAGUGACAGAGCAAGACUCCGUCUUAA